ACACAGCCGUCUGGAGAGCCGCCCUGCCAUGCAGGGCGCACCGAAGGAGCAAGCACCGCGCGAGGACCGCGCGGCGUGAAUCUCUCAGGUACCGAGGACAGGGGGAGCGGC
rnacentral:ncRNA from 2 species